AAUGGGCGAAAGCCUGAUGCAGCAACGCCGCGUGAGCGAUGAAGGCCUUCGGGUCGUAAAGCUCUGUCCUCAAGGAAGAUAAUGACGGUACUUGAGGAGGAAGCCCCGGCUAACUACGUGCCAGCAGCCGCGGUAAUACGUAGGGGGCUAGCGUUAUCCGGAUUUACUGGGCGUAAAGGGUGCGUAGGCGGUCUUUCAAGUCAGGAGUGAAAGGCUACGGCUCAACCGUAGUAAGCUCUUGAAACUGUAAGACUUGAGUGCAGGAGAGGAGAGUGGAAUUCCUAGUGUAGCGGUGAAAUGCGUAGAUAUUAGGAGGAACACCAGUUGCGAAGGCGGCUCUCUGGACUGUAACUGACGCUGAGGCACGAAAGCGUGGGGAGCAAA
rnacentral:rRNA from 1 species